ACCAGACCACCACGAGACUCUGGACCAGACCACCACGAGACUCUGAACCAGACCACCACGAGACUCUGGACCAGACCACCACGAGACUCUGGACCAGACCACCAUGAGACUCUGGACCAGACCACCGUGAGCAGACAGCUGGACUUCAUGUGCUCUCGGUUCAGUGACCAGGUCCAGUCAGGAUCCUCUGGAGCUCAUGGGCCGUGACACCAGGACCUACUUCAGCACCUCAAAGAGAAUGGACCAAAUGUCAACUGGAAGUUUUUAUAUUAAUACAGUUUGAAAAGGAUUGUUUUCCUAGUAUAUUCACAAAAGCUCAGGAGUAGACAUGAACCUGUGACACAAACAUCCAUCACAUAGAGACAUGAGAACUCACUCACUCACUCACACACACACACACACACACACACACGUACACUCUAUUAUGUAAAUCAAUUUGCAUUUUAAAAGCAGCUGGAAAUGUUAUUUAUGUUAUUUUAUAGAUUGUUUUUGUUCAAAAGGAACUAUGUUGCACGUAUUUUAAAAAUAUAUUUACUUGAUUUUAUAGACAUUUGUUCAUGGGACUUAAAUGUUCUGAAAAUGUUAUAUUAAUAAAUAUAAUUUACAACAGCAA